UACGGAAGGCAGCAGUGGGGAAUAUUGCACAAUGGGCGCAAGCCUGAUGCAGCCAUGCCGCGUGUAUGAAAAAGGCCUUCGGGUUGUAAAGUACUUUCAGUCGUGAGGAAGGUGUUAAGGUUAAUAACCUUAGCAAUUGACGUUAGCGACAGAAGAAGCACCGGCUAACUCCGUGCCAGCAGCCGCGGUAAUACGGAGGGUGCGAGCGUUAAUCGGAAUUACUGGGCGUAAAGGGCACGCAGGCGGUUAAUUAAGUUGGAUGUGAAAUCCCCGGGCUUAACCUGGGAAUGGCAUUCAAGACUGGUUAGCUAGAGUCUUGUAGAGGGGGUAGAAUUCCAUGUGUAGCGGUGAAAUGCGUAGAGAUGUGGAGGAAUACCGGUGGCGAAGGCGGCCCCUGGACAAGACUGACGCUCAUGUGCGAAAGCGUGGGGAGCAAACG
rnacentral:rRNA from 1 species